rnacentral:rRNA from 1 species
CCUACGGGAGGCAGCAGUGAGGAAUAUUGGUCAAUGGACGAGAGUCUGAACCAGCCAAGUAGCGUGAAGGAUGACUGCCCUAUGGGUUGUAACCUUCUUUUAUAAAGGAAUAAAACGAGGCACGUGUGCCUUUUUGCAUGUACUUUAUGAAUAACGAUCGGCUAACUCCGUGCCAGCAGCCGCGGUAAUACGGAGGAUCCGAGCGUUAUCCGGAUUUAUUGGGUUUAAAGGGGACGUAGAUGGGUUGUUAAGUCAGUUGUGAAAGUUUGCGGCUCAACCGUAAAAUUGCAAUUGAUACUGGCAGUCUUGAGUACAGUUGAGGUAGGCGGAAUUCGUGGUGUAGCGGUGAAAUGCUUAGAUAUCGCGAAGAACCCCGAUUGCGAAGGCAGCUUACUAAACUGUGACUGACAUUGAUGCUCGAAAGUGUGGGUAUCAAACAGGAUUAGAUACCCUGGUAGUC